UACGUAGGGUGCAAGCGUUGUCCGGAAUUAUUGGGCGUAAAGAGCUCGUAGGCGGUCUGUCGCGUCGGCUGUGAAAUCCCGAGGCUCAACCUCGGGUCUGCAGUCGAUACGGGCAAACUGGAGUGUUGCAGGGGAGACUGGAAUUCCUGGUGUAGCGGUGAAAUGCGCAGAUAUCAGGAAGAACACCGAUGGCGAAGGCAGCUCUCUGGGACGGUACUGACGCUGAGACGCGAAAGCGUGGGGAGCGAACAGG
rnacentral:rRNA from 1 species